rnacentral:rRNA from 1 species
AUUGAACGCUGGCGGCAGGCCUAACACAUGCAAGUCGAACGAGUGGCGGACGGGUGAGUAAUGUCUGGGAAACUGCCCGAUGGAGGGGGAUAACUACUGGAAACGGUAGCUAAUACCGCAUACCAUCGGAUGUGCCCAGAUGGGAUUAGCUAGUAGGUGGGGUAACGGCUCACCUAGGCGACGAUCCCUAGCUGGUCUGAGAGGAUGACCAGCCAGACGGGAACGGAUACACUGUCCAGAGUCCUACGCGAGGCAGCAGUGGGGAAUAUUGCACAAGGGGCGCAAGCCUGAUGCAGACAUGCCGCGUGUAUGAAGAAGGCGUUCGGGUUGUAAAGUACUUUCAGCGAGGAGGCGUUACCCGCAGAAGAAGCACCGGCUAACUCCGGGCCAGCAGCCGCGGUAAUAC